rnacentral:rRNA from 1 species
AGUUUGAUUCUGGCUCAGGACGAACGCUGGCGGCGUGCCUAAUACAUGCAAGUCGAGCGAGCUUGCCUAGAUGAUUUUAGUGCUUGCACUAAAUGAAACUAGAUACAAGCGAGCGGCGGACGGGUGAGUAACACGUGGGUAACCUGCCCAAGAGACUGGGAUAACACCUGGAAACAGAUGCUAAUACCGGAUAACAACACUAGACGCAUGUCUAGAGUUUGAAAGAUGGUUCUGCUAUCACUCUUGGAUGGACCUGCGGUGCAUUAGCUAGUUGGUAAGGUAACGGCUUACCAAGGCAAUGAUGCAUAGCCGAGUUGAGAGACUGAUCGGCCACAUUGGGACUGAGACACGGCCCAAACUCCUACGGGAGGCAGCAGUAGGGAAUCUUCCACAAUGGACGAAAGUCUGAUGGAGCAACGCCGCGUGAGUGAAGAAGGGUUUCGGCUCGUAAAGCUCUGUUGGUAGUGAAGAAAGAUAGAGGUAGUAACUGGCCUUUAUUUGACGGUAAUUACUUAGAAAGUCACGGCUAACUACGUGCCAGCAGCCGCGGUAAUACGUAGGUGGCAAGCGUUGUCCGGAUUUAUUGGGCGUAAAGCGAGUGCAGGCGGUUCAAUAAGUCUGAUGUGAAAGCCUUCGGCUCAACCGGAGAAUUGCAUCAGAAACUGUUGAACUUGAGUGCAGAAGAGGAGAGUGGAACUCCAUGUGUAGCGGUGGAAUGCGUAGAUAUAUGGAAGAACACCAGUGGCGAAGGCGGCUCUCUGGUCUGCAACUGACGCUGAGGCUCGAAAGCAUGGGUAGCGAACAGGAUUAGAUACCCUGGUAGUCCAUGCCGUAAACGAUGAGUGCUAAGUGUUGGGAGGUUUCCGCCUCUCAGUGCUGCAGCUAACGCAUUAAGCACUCCGCCUGGGGAGU